CCCUUAGAUGUCCUGGGCUGCACGCGCGCUACACUGACGAACUCAACGAGUUUAUCACCUUGGCAGAGAUGUCUGGGUAAUCUUCUGAAAGUUCGUCGUGAUGGGGAUAGAUGAUUGUAAUUACUCGUCUUGAACGAGGAAUUCCUAGUAAGUGUGAGUCAUCAGCUCGCGCUGAUUACGUCCCUGCCCUUUGUACACACCGCCCGUCGCUCCUACCGAUUGAAUGGUCCGGUGAGAACUUCGGAUCACGCGAUAGAUGCUAGUUCACUAGCAACUUUUGCGAGAGAAGUUGUUCAAACCUUACCAUUUAGAGGAAGGAGAAGUCGUAACA
rnacentral:rRNA from 1 species